AUUCCAGCUCCAAUAGCGUAUAUUAAAGUUGUUGCAGUUAAAAAGCUCGUAGUUGGAUUUCUGGGAGGGUGCCAAUGUCCGCCGAGUGCGUGCGCAGCGGCGCCCUUCCAUCCUUCUGUUAACGCCUCUUGGCAUUCAUUUGCUGGUGGCGGGCUCAGAUAUUUUACCUUGAGAAAAUUAGAGUGUUUCAGGCAGGCUAGGCCGGAAUACAUUAGCAUGGAAUAAUGGAAUAGGACUACGGUCUCUUUGUUGGUUUGAGGGACUGCAGUAAUGAUUAAUAGGGAUAGUUGGGGGCAUUAGUAUUUAAUUGUCAGAGGUGGAAUUCUCGGAUUUGUUAAAGACUAACUUAUGCGAAAGCAUUUGCCAAGGAUGUUUUCAUCG
rnacentral:rRNA from 1 species